AUUGAACGCUGGCGGCAGGCCUAACACAUGCAAGUCGAGCGGUAGAGAGGUGCUUGCACCUCUUGAGAGCGGCGGACGGGUGAGUAAUGCCUAGGAAUCUGCCUGGUAGUGGGGGAUAACGCUAGGAAACGGACGCUAAUACCGCAUCCGUCCUACGGGAGAAAGCAGGGGAGCUUCGGGCCUUGCGCUGUGAGAUGAGGCUAGGUCGGAUUAGCUAGUUGGUGAGGUAAUGGCUCACCAAGGCGACGAUCCGUAACUGGUCUGAGAGGAUGAUCAGUCACACUGGAACUGAGACACGGUCCAGACUCCUACGGGAGGCAGCAGUGGGGAAUAUCGGACAAUGGGCGAAAGCCUGAUCCAGCCAUGCCGCGUGUGUGAAGAAGGUCUUCGGAUUGUAAAGCACUUUAAGUUGGGAGGAAGGGUCGUUACCUAAUACGUGACGAUUUUGACGUUACCGACAGAAUAAGCACCGGCUAACUCUGUGCCAGCAGCCGCAGUAACAC
rnacentral:rRNA from 1 species